AUUGAACGCUGGCGGCAGGCCUAACACAUGCAAGUCGAACGGUAGCACAGAGAGCUUGCUCUCGGGUGACGAGUGGCGGACGGGUGAGUAAUGUCUGGGAAACUGCCUGCUGGAGGGGGAUAACUACUGGAAACGGUAGCUAAUACCGCAUAACGUCGCAAGACCAAAGAGGGGGACCUUCGGGCCUCUGGCCAUCAGAUGUGCCCAAAUGGGAUUAGCUUGUAGGCGGGGUAAUGGCCCACCUAGGCGACGAUCCCUAGCUGGUAUGAGAGGAUGACCAGCCACACUGGAACUGAGACACGGUCCAGACUCCUACGGGAGGCAGCAGUGGGGAAUAUUGCACAAUGGGCGCAAGCCUGAUGCAGCCAUGCCGCGUGUGUGAAGAAGGCCUUCGGGUUGUAAAGCACUUUCAGCGGGGAGGAAGGCGGUACGGUUAAUAACCGUGCCGAUUGACGUUACCCGCAGAAGAAGCACCGGCUAACUCCGUGCCAGCAGCCGCCGUAAGAC
rnacentral:rRNA from 1 species